rnacentral:rRNA from 1 species
UACGUAGGGGGCAAGCGUUGUCCGGAAUUACUGGGCGUAAAGGGCGCGUAGGCGGCGCGGUAAGUCACUUGUGAAAUCUCUGAGCUUAACUCAGAACGGCCAAGUGAUACUGCAGUGCUAGAGUGUGGAAGGGGCAAUCGGAAUUCUUGGUGUAGCGGUGAAAUGCGUAGAUAUCAAGAGGAACACCUGAGGUGAAGACGGGUUGCUGGGCCAACACUGACGCUGAGGCGCGAAAGCCAGGGGAGCAAACAGGG